UGGGGAAUUUUGGACAAUGGGCGAAAGCCUGAUCCAGCAAUGCCGCGUGUGUGAAGAAGGCCUUCGGGUUGUAAAGCACUUUUGUCCGGAAAGAAAUCCUUGGCUCUAAUACAGUCGGGGGAUGACGGUACCGGAAGAAUAAGCACCGGCUAACUACGUGCCAGCAGCCGCGGUAAUACGUAGGGUGCAAGCGUUAAUCGGAAUUACUGGGCGUAAAGCGUGCGCAGGCGGUUUGCUAAGACCGAUGUGAAAAUCCCCGGGCUCAACCUGGGAACUGCAUUGGUGACUGGCAGGCUAGAGUAUGGCAGAGGGGGGUAGAAUUCCACGUGUAGCAGUGAAAUGCGUAGAGAUGUGGAGGAAUACCGAUGGCGAAGGCAGCCCCCUGGGCCAAAUACUGACGCUCAUGCACGAAAAGGCGUGGGGGAGCAAACAGGAUUAGAUACCCUGGUAGUCCACGCCCUAAAACGAUGUCAACUAGUUGUUGGGGAUUCAUUUCCUUAGUAACGUAGCUAACGCGUGAAGUUGACCGCCUGGGGAGUACGGUCGCAAGAUUAAAACUUAAAUGAAUUGACGGGGUCAUAGCUGUUUCCU
rnacentral:rRNA from 1 species